rnacentral:rRNA from 1 species
CCUACGGGAGGCAGCAGUGGGGAAUAUUGCACAAUGGGGGGAACCCUGAUGCAGCGACGCCGCGUGGGUGAAGAAGCGCCUCGGCGCGUAAAGCCCUGUCAGCAGGGAAGAAAAUGACGGUACCUGAAGAAGAAGCCCCGGCUAACUACGUGCCAGCAGCCGCGGUAAUACGUAGGGGGCAAGCGUUAUCCGGAUUUACUGGGUGUAAAGGGGGCGCAGACGGCGAUGCAAGCCAGGAGUGAAAGCCCGGGGCCCAACCCAGGGACUGCUCUUGGAACUGCGUGGCUAGAGUGCAGGAGGGGCAGGCGGAAGUCCUGGUGUAGCGGUGAAAUGCGUAGAUAUCAGGAGGAACACCGGUGGCGAAGGCGGCCUGCUGGACUGCAACUGACGUUGAGGCCCGAAAGCGUGGGGAGCAAACAGGAUUAGAUACCCCAGUAGUC